rnacentral:rRNA from 1 species
UACAGAGGGUGCGAGCGUUAAUCGGAAUUACUGGGCGUAAAGCGUGCGUAGACGGUAGCGUAAGUCAGAUGUGAAAGCCCCGGGCUCAACCUGGGAACUGCAUUUGAGACUGCUCUGCUCGGGUGCGGAAGAGGGAAGCGGAAUUUCCGGUGUAGCGGUGAAAUGCGUAGAUAUCUGGAAGAACACCGGUGGCGCAAGCGGCUUGCUGGGCUGUAACUGACACUGAGGCGCGACAGCGUGGGGAGCAAACAGG